rnacentral:rRNA from 1 species
CAAAAUGGGAGGUAAAUUUCUCCUAAGGCUAAAUAUUGGCGAGAGACCGAUAGCGAACAAGUACCGUGAGGGAAAGAUGAAAAGAACUUUGAAAAGAGAGUUAAACAGUACGUGAAAUUGUUGAAAGGGAAACGAUUGAAGUCAGUCAUACCAACGGGAAAUCAACCUUUUGAGCUCGGUCUCGUGGGUUUGAAGAGUUUCAAAGCCUUCGGAUUCGCGGGAUUGGGAUCUCUUGGUGUACUUUUUCGUACGGUUAGUCAACAUCGGUUUUGAAUGUCAUAAAAUGACUGGAGGAAUGUAGCUUCGAUCUCGUAUUGAAGUGUUAUAGCCUUUGGUAGAUGUGAUGUUUUAGACCGAGGAUUGCAACGGAUACCCUUCAGGGCUAUUCGUCUGAUCUCUGAUACGUUGCCUUGAUGUUGAAAGCUUGCUUAUGAUGUUAGGGUAUUACGGUCAAAAGGUUAGAACGAAUUACA